CAGCAGUCGCCGCGGUAAUACGUAGGGUGCGAGCGUUAAUCGGAAUUACUGGGCGUAAAGCGUGCGCAGGCGGUUUUGUAAGACAGGCGUGAAAUCCCCGGGCUCAACCUGGGAAUGGCGCUUGUGACUGCAAAGCUAGAGUGCGGCAGAGGGGGAUGGAAUUCCGCGUGUAGCAGUGAAAUGCGUAAAUAUGCGGAGGAACACCGAUGGCGAAGGCAAUCCCCUGGGCCUGCACUGACGCUCAUGCACGAAAGCGUGGGGAGCAAACAGGAUUAGAUACCCCCGUAGUCCCUGUCUCUUAUAC
rnacentral:rRNA from 1 species